AGGCCACAGAUGCGGGAUACUCCUGUAGGAAAGGCCACACUUGAACCAAUCCAUCCAUAUGGAUUGAUUCUCAACCUCGACGAAGCCAGUUUCAAAGAUUGGGAGGAUCUGAUCGACGAAUGGGCUUCAUCAUUGAAUAUCGUAGUCACCACAAUUGAGUACGAUAAAAAGGAGUUUGCCAAAAUCUUCGAAGCAAGUCU
rnacentral:lncRNA from 1 species